rnacentral:lncRNA from 1 species
CUUAUCUGUACCAUUUUGUUCAAUGUCAGCCUUUUCUACUGCAUUGGAAUCUGCAGGAUACAGGACAAUUAAAUCCGUUUCAACAUCCUCAUUAGAAGCUAGCAAUGAGAAAACUGAAGCCCUCAGAAGAAAUUUGCUCAAGAUUCCAGACAAUCAGUCAUGGGCUUAGCCUGUAAGAUGCUCCACUGUUUCUGACACCUCUCUUCACCCUGCAAUCUCACAAGAAAUGACUUGGAGGGCCAAGGAUUUAGCUCAGUGGUGCCGCUGCCUGUCUUGCAAGCACAAGGUCCCGAGUUCAAUGCCUGGUACCAAAAAACAAAACAUUUUAAUAAGAACCAAGAGAUUAUGUAAAGGUGCCAAUUUCCAAUGAUGAAUGUCAUUAUAUUGUAUACCUAAAUUGUACCAAUAAAAUAAAAAUUUAAAAAAAGAAAUGACUUGGAUGUGGGGGGUGCUUCAGACUUCU